rnacentral:rRNA from 1 species
GCCAGACUCCUACGGGAGGCAGCAGUAGGGAAUAUUGCUCAAUGGGGGAAACCCUGAUGCAGCGACGCCGCGUGAGCGAAGAAGUAUUUCGGUAUGUAAAGCUCUAUCAGCAGGGAAGAAAAAAAUGACGGUACCUGAGUAAGAAGCACCAGCUAAAUACGUGCCAGCAGCCGCGGUAAUACGUAUGGUGCAAGCGUUAUCCGGAUUUACUGGGUGUAAAGGGAGCGUAGGCGGCGCGUUAAGUCUGAUGUGAAAACCCGAGGCUCAACCACGGGAGUGCAUUGGAAACUGGCGGGCUGGAGUGCCGGAGAGGUAAGCGGAAUUCCUAGUGUAGCGGUGAAAUGCGUAGAUAUUAGGAGGAACACCAGUGGCGAAGGCGGCUUACUGGACGGCAACUGACGCUGAGGCUCGAAAGCGUGGGGAGCAAACAGGAUUAGAUACCCGCGUAU